GUCUCCUGAAUGGUCAAGGUCUUCCUCUGGCGCUUUGGCUCACUGCUACCAGAAGGCGUAGAAGAUGCGGGACGCUUGGGAGCCAUCGUAGGGCUUAAAACAAAAGGAAAACAAUCGGACCACAAGUAAGGGUCCAGAGCAUCUGCCAGUCCCAAACCUGGGCACCUCUGCCCUCCAUGACCCCGAAGGCCUGAAGCAUCACCCCAGCACAGAGACUGACCUGAAGCCGCCUCCGUUCUGAUGACCACCUUACUGAGAAUAACACUCACAUGCCUAAUGACUCGAGCUGUUUGAGCGGAUCUGGUACCAGCGGUGAGGGCCCCAGGCACGGGAGCAGAACCGGCGGGCCGGAUCCAUCACAGGGGGCCUGACCCAAAGUUUCACUGCUGUCAUGUGUGAUUUACGGCCUUACUCGGCACGG